CUACAGCUACAACCGCACGAGUUGAGUAUUAAGUUCUGCAAGGGCGCUUAACUUGGCGAGUCUAAGUGAUUCA
rfam:Lactobacillus fabifermentans T30PCM01 genomic scaffold scaffold31, whole genome shotgun sequence.